rnacentral:lncRNA from 10 species
GAGAAAUUCAAGCCUGCUGCAGAAAUUUGCAUAAGUAACUAUGAGCCAAAUCUUAAUAAGACAAUAGGGAAAAUGUCUCCAAGGCAUGUCAGACAGUUUUGUGGCAACCCUACUCAUCGCAGGCCCAGAAGCCUAGGAGGGAAAAUUGGUUUUGUGGGCUGGGUCCAGGGCCCCCCUGCUGUAUGCACCAUAGGGACUUGGUGCCCUGCAACCCAGCUGCUCCAGCUUUAACUAAUAAGGGCCAAGGUACAGCUAAGGCCAUGGCUUCAGAAGGUGAAAGCCCCAAGCUUUGCCAGCUUCCAUGGGGUGUUGAGCCUACAUUUGCAGAGAAGUCAACAAUUGAGGUCUGGAAACCUCCGCCUAGAUUCCAGAGGAUGUAAGGAAAUGCUUGGAUGUUCAGGCAGAAGUUUGCUGCAGCGGUGGAGCCCUCAUGGUGAACCUCUGCUAGGGCAGUGUGGAAGGGAAAUGUGGGAUCAGAGCCCCCACACAGAGUCCCCACUGGGGUACUGCCUAGUGGAUCUGUGAGAUGAAGGCCACCAUCCUCCAGACCACAGAAUGGUAGAUCCACCUACAGCUUGCACCCAUGUGCCUGGAAAAGCUGCAGGCACUCAACACUAGCUUGUAAAAGCAGCCUGGAGUGGGGCUGUACCCUGCAAAGCCACA